ACGCGCCGUCGCCGCCGUAAAUGCAUGGCGUACUUUCUCUGCUUGCUCCCUUUGCUCGCAGACAUGACACUUGCACUCGGGCAUUCUACGUGAUGCUCGUGGGCGCCCACACGUGCGGUGAUAAUUUCUUCGUUCUUCGGUACUCGAUCCUGUACGGUACGUUCUCACUGCUGCGCAACCACUCCGUGUACUUUUUGUUCCUGUUCACAGUGCCGUUUGUGCAGCUUCCUCUGAACUGUGCUGCAGUCAAGGCGUGUCACCAUGCGACUUCUCAGUUUCCAGUUUUGUGAGGAAGCAGGUACACCGACAACUCACUCCCUCCCCCCCCUCCACACACACACACACGUCCCUCCUUUACGGUGGUUUUGAGCGUAUAGUGGCACUGCCUACACGGGCUGCGCAACAAGAGAGAGUCAACCCCCACCCCCUACACGUAUGCGCUUUCCAACACAAAACAGUGCUCGUGUAUUAUGGUCUUAUGUCCUGGCCACGACGAGAGAGGAUAAAAAGGCUCUGUUCCACGUACAGCUGCUCACAAGGGCACGGGUGUGCCGUCGAUGGCGGCAGCACUCCUUGGCGCGCCGCGUGAAGAAGGAAAAUGAAAGAGGCAGACGAGCCAGCGGCAUUUUAGCACGCAUCGCUUCCUCUCCCGCUGUAGCGCAUCGCACUGCGUCGAAGCCAAGGCGUUCACCAACUCAACAUCGUUCAACUCUAUGUGCGUUUAUCUUUUUUCUUUUCGUUGCAG
rnacentral:misc_RNA from 1 species